UCCUUGUUACUAUAGUGGUCAGUAUUUCUGCCUGUCGCACAGAAGACCAGGGUUUGAUUCCCUGACAGAGAG